GCCCAGACUCCUACGGGAGGCAGCAGUGGGGAAUAUUGCACAAUGGGGGGAACCCUGAUGCAGCGACGCCGCGUGGGUGAAGAAGCGCCUCGGCGCGUAAAGCCCUGUCAGCAGGGAAGAAAAUGACGGUACCUGAAGAAGAAGCCCCGGCUAACUACGUGCCAGCAGCCGCGGUAAUACGUAGGGGGCAAGCGUUAUCCGGAUUUACUGGGUGUAAAGGGAGCGUAGACGGCGAAGAAAGUCUGAAGUGAAAGCCCGCGGCUCAACCGCGGAAUGGCUUUGGAAACUUUUUUGCUGGAGUACCGGAGAGGUAAGCGGAAUUCCUGGUGUAGCGGUGAAAUGCGUAGAUAUUAGGAGGAACACCAGUGGCGAAGGCGGCUUACUGGACGGUAACUGACGUUGAGGCUCGAAAGCGUGGGGAGCAAACAGGAUUAGAUACCCCAGUAUA
rnacentral:rRNA from 1 species